rnacentral:rRNA from 1 species
UACGUAGGGUGCAAGCGUUGUCCGGAAUUAUUGGGCGUAAAGAGCUCGUAGGCGGUCUGUCGCGUCGGCUGUGAAAACUCGGGGGCUCAACUCCGAGCUUGCAGUCGAUACGGGCAGGCUAGAGUUCGGCAGGGGAGACUGGAAUUCCUGGUGUAGCGGUGAAAUGCGCAGAUAUCAGGAGGAACACCAAUGGCGAAGGCAGCUCGCUGGGACGUGACUGACGCUGAGACGCGAAAGCGUGGGGAGCAAACAGG